GAUGAACGCUGGCGGCGUGCCUAAUACAUGCAAGUCGAGCGAACAGACGAGGAGCUUGCUCCUCUGACGUUAGCGGCGGACGGGUGAGUAACACGUGGAUAACCUACCUAUAAGACUGGGAUAACUUCGGGAAACCGGAGCUAAUACCGGAUAAUAUAUUGAACCGCAUGGUUCAAUAGUGAAAGACGGUUUUGCUGUCACUUAUAGAGGGAUCCGCGCCGCAUUAGCUAGUUGUUAAGGUAACGGCUUACCAAGGCAACGAUGCGUAGCCGACCGGAGAGGGUGAUCGGCCACACUGGAACUGAGACACGGUCCAGACUCCUACGGGAGGCAGCAGUAGGGAAUCUUCCGCAAUGGGCGAAAGCCUGACGGAGCAACGCCGCGUGAGUGAUGAAGGUCUUCGGAUCGUAAAACUCUGUUAUUAGGGAAGAACAAAUGUGUAAGUAACUAUGCACGUCUUGACGGUACCUAAUCAGAAAGCCACGGCUAACUACGUG
rnacentral:rRNA from 1 species